UACAGAGGGUGCAAGCGUUAAUCGGAAUUACUGGGCGUAAAGGGCGCGUAGGUGGUUAAAUAAGUGAACUGUGAAAUCCCCGGGCUUAACCUGGGAACUGCAGUUUAUACUGUUUAGCUGGAGUACAUGAGAGGGUAGUGGAAUUUCCGGUGUAGCGGUGAAAUGCGUAGAUAUCGGAAGGAACACCAGUGGCGAAGGCGGCUACCUGGCAUGAUACUGACACUGAGGCGCGAGAGCGUGGGGAGCAAACAGG
rnacentral:rRNA from 1 species